rnacentral:lncRNA from 1 species
GUCUCUCCACUCCCAACGGCCAUCAGCUACACGCCUGCCCACUAUUUCACUCACGCCUACCUCACUCUCCCUCUCUCAGAAAAAUCCUCACAGAAAAAUCCAAAGAAAUCUCUCUCUUCACUCUCACCAAAAAUCCAACGAAACCUCUUCAUCGCCUCGCUCAAUCUCCACACAAAAAGCCUCACUCACUGUUCAUCACCCUUCAACUCACGCUCUCACUCUCGAAAACCCUAUCCGCCGCCAUUUCACUCACUGGAAGCUCCAUCCAAAUCGACAACCUCC